rnacentral:miRNA from 1 species
CAUCAAUGUCACACCAUACAUC